AUGCAGUCGAACGCCUCUCGUUUAGAUUGAAGGAGCUUGCUCCUGAUUGAUAAACAUUUGAGUGAGUGGCGGACGGGUGAGUAACACGUGGGUACCUGCCCUAAAGUGGGGGAUAACAUUUGGAAACAGAUGCUAAUACCGCAUAAAACCUAACACCGCAUGGUGUAGGGUUGAAAGAUGGUUUCGGCUAUCACUUUAGGAGGACCCGCGGUGCAUUAGUUAGUUGGUGAGGUAAAGGCUCACCAAGACCGUGAUGCAUAGCCGACCUGAGAGGGUAAUCGGCCACACUGGGACUGAGACACGGCCCAGACUCCUACGGGAGGCAGCAGUAGGGAAUCUUCCACAAUGGACGAAAGUCUGAUGGAGCAACGCCGCGUGAGUGAAGAAGGUUUUCGGAUCGUAAAACUCUGUUGUUGGAGAAGAAUGUAUCUGAUAGUAACUGUCAGGUAUGCGGUAUCCAACCAGAAAGCCACGGCUAACUACGUGCCAGCAGCCGCGGUAAUACGUAGGUGGCAAGCGUUGUCCGGAUUUAUUGGGCGUAAAGCGAGCGCAGGCGGUUUCUUAAGUCUGAUGUGAAAGCCUUCGGCUCAACCGAAGAAGUGCAUCGGAAACUGGGAAAUUGAGUGCAGAAGAGGACAGUGGAACUCCUG
rnacentral:rRNA from 2 species